CCUACGGGAGGCAGCAGUGGGGGAUAUUGCACCAUGGGGGGAACCCUGCUGCCGCGACGCCGCGUGGGUGAAGGAGUGCUUCGGCAUGUAACGCCCUAUCGGCAGGGAAGAAGCAAGACGGUACCUGACUAAGAAGCCCAGGCUAACUACGUGCCAGCAGCCGCGGUAAUACGUAGGGGGCGAGCGUUAUCCGGCUUCACUGGGUGUAAAGGGAGCGUAGACGGCCAUGCAAGCCAGGGGUGAAAGCCCGGGGCCCAACCCCGGGACUGCCCUUGGAACUGCAUGGCUGGAGGGCGGGAGGGGCAGGAGGAAUUCCUGGUGGAGCGGUGAAAGGCGUAGAUAUCAGGAGGAACACCGGCGGCGAAGGCGGCCUGCUGGACUGCGACUGACGUUGAGGCUCGAAAGCGUGGGGAGCGAACAGGAUUAGAUACCCGUGUAGUC
rnacentral:rRNA from 1 species